rnacentral:rRNA from 1 species
GACGAACGCUGGCGGCGUGCUUAACACAUGCAAGUCGAACGGAAAGGCCCUGCUUUUGUGGGGUGCUCGAGUGGCGAACGGGUGAGUAACACGUGAGUAACCUGCCCUUGACUUUGGGAUAACUUCAGGAAACUGGGGCUAAUACCGGAUAGGAGCUCCUGCUGCAUGGUGGGGGUUGGAAAGUUUCGGCGGUUGGGGAUGGACUCGCGGCUUAUCAGCUUGUUGGUGGGGUAGUGGCUUACCAAGGCUUUGACGGGUAGCCGGCCUGAGAGGGUGACCGGCCACAUUGGGACUGAGAUACGGCCCAGACUCCUACGGGAGGCAGCAGUGGGGAAUAUUGCACAAUGGGCGGAAGCCUGAUGCAGCAACGCCGCGUGCGGGAUGACGGCCUUCGGGUUGUAAACCGCUUUCGCCUGUGACGAAGCGUGAGUGACGGUAAUGGGUAAAGAAGCACCGGCUAACUACGUGCCAGCAGCCGCGGUGAUACGUAGGGUGCGAGCGUUGUCCGGAUUUAUUGGGCGUAAAGGGCUCGUAGGUGGUUGAUCGCGUCGGAAGUGUAAUCUUGGGGCUUAACCCUGAGCGUGCUUUCGAUACGGGUUGACUUGAGGAAGGUAGGGGAGAAUGGAAUUCCUGGUGGAGCGGUGGAAUGCGCAGAUAUCAGGAGGAACACCAGUGGCGAAGGCGGUUCUCUGGGCCUUUCCUGACGCUGAGGAGCGAAAGCGUGGGGAGCGAACAGGCUUAGAUACCCUGGUAGUCCACGCUGUAAACGGUGGGUACUAGGUGUGGGGUCCAUUCCACGGGUUCCGUGCCGUAGCUAACGCUUUAAGUACCCCGCCUGGGGAGUACGGCCGCAAGGCUAAAACUCAAAGGAAUUGACGGGGCCCCGCACAAGCGGCGGAGCAUGCGGAUUAAUUCGAUGCAACGCGUAGAACCUUACCUGGGUUUGACAUGGAUCGGGAGUGCUCAGAGAUGGGUGUGCCUCUUUUGGGGUCGGUUCACAGGUGGUGCAUGGCUGUCGUCAGCUCGUGUCGUGAGAUGUUGGGUUAAGUCCCGCAACGAGCGCAACCCUUGUUCACUGUUGCCAGCACGUUAUGGUGGGGACUCAGUGGAGACCGCCGGGGUCAACUCGGAGGAAGGUGGGGAUGACGUCAAGUCAUCAUGCCCCUUAUGUCCAGGGCUUCACGCAUGCUACAAUGGCUGGUACAGAGAGUGGCGAGCCUGUGAGGGUGAGCGAAUCUCGGAAAGCCGGUCUCAGUUCGGAUUGGGGUCUGCAACUCGAUCUCAUGAAGUCGGAGUCGCUAGUAAUCGCAGAUCAGCAACGCUGCGGUGAAUACGUUCCCGGGGCU